ACCAAAACAUAACUGCCUAUGUACAAUGUACAACAAAAUUAAAGGUACAUAUAUCUACUUACUUGCCACAAGUGUUAUUCAGUCGAUUGAGUGAUUUCUAAAGCGCGUAUCCAAUACCCUAUAAUUUUUUUAUAACCUAUGUUCUAUUUUGAGUCGGGACGGACGCUGCAAUCCGCUGCAUUCCGUCGGGACUUGAACAUCAUAAGAAAUGCCAAACCAAAUAGGAUGUUGUGGAAAUAAUCCAAGCUUAUUUUAAGCUUUCUAAGGCAAUAUGAGAUGUGCAAGCGCAUGAUGGCAAUGCUGUGCUGGGAUCGAGAGUUAUAAUCAACACAGUUGGUGUUUUUAGAUAUUAUUGGAAGUAAGAAGUAAACCAAAGACCUACUUGUUCUGCGAGUAGUCAUCCGGCCGGCGGUAAAACGAUUUCAGGCAGGACAACGAUGAAUAAUCCGUGACUCACUAGUUCCACUGAAUUCAAAUGUCAUAAUUAAGUAUGUGGAAACGUUGAUCCGCGUGUGCGCCCCGACGGCGUCGUGCGCCCCCCGUCCCUCGGCGAGUUUCGAAUGUCUCUCACGAACAAACUGGCUCACCGUGCGCGAUG